rnacentral:misc_RNA from 1 species
AGUAAAACAGUACGUGAAAUUGUUGAAAGGGAAACGAUUGAAGUCAGUCAUGCCGGCGUUGGAUUCAGCUUGCUUCGCGGAGCUUGCGCAUUUCCUCGCAUGGCAGGUCAGCGUCAGUUUUGCGCGGCGUGAAAAGGCUCGGGUAAGGUAGCUCUCUUCGGGGAGUGUUAUAGACCUUGGCAAAUGCGCAGCGCGGGACUGAGGAUUGCAGCGGACACCUCUUCGGAGGCGCGGCGACCGAACCCUGCUCGGCCACCCUCGUUCGAUAGCGUGCUAGCGGACGCGGGAGCGGCAGUGCACCGGAACAGGCAAGCCAGCGGUUCGCUUAGGAUGCUGACGUAAUGGCUUUAAA